rfam:Eubacterium hallii CAG:12 genomic scaffold, scf18
UGAUAGCAAAGAAGCGCGAGGUUGCUGUGAUGGAAAAAUCCAUUGCAGGUUUUCCGUGGAGCGAAUGUCAAGUUUAGAAACUGGCGACAA